AACGAGGCCGACCUGCGGCUGAGUUACCUGCGGAAGGAUCAUUACCGAGUUUACAACUCCCAAACCCCUGUGAACAUACCACUUGUUGCCUCGGCGGAUCAGCCCGCUCCCGGUAAAACGGGACGGCCCGCCAGAGGACCCCUAAACUCUGUUUCUAUAUGUAACUUCUGAGUAAAACCAUAAAUAAAUCAAAACUUUCAACAAUGGAUCU
rnacentral:misc_RNA from 1 species